UCUCCGUUGGUGAACCAGCGGAGGGAUCAUUACCGAGUUUACAACUCCCAAACCCCUGUGAACAUACCUUACUGUUGCCUCGGCGGAUCAGCCCGCUCCCGGUAAAACGGGACGGCCCGCCAGAGGACCCCUAAACUCUUGUGUUUUUUUCAGUAUUCUCUGAGUGGCAAACGCAAAAAUAAAUCAAAACUUUUAACAACGGAUCUCUUGGCUCUG
rnacentral:misc_RNA from 1 species